rnacentral:rRNA from 1 species
AACGAACGCUGGCGGCAUGCCUAACACAUGCAAGUCGAACGAGACCUUCGGGUCUAGUGGCGCACGGGUGCGUAACGCGUGGGAACCUGCCCUUAGGUUCGGAAUAACUCCCCGAAAGGGGUGCUGAUACCGGAUAAUGUCUUCGGACCAAAGAUUUAUCGCCUUUGGAUGGGCCCGCGUUGGAUUAGCUAGUUGGUAGGGUAAAAGCCUACCAAGGCGACGAUCCAUAGCUGGUCUGAGAGGAUGAUCAGCCAUACUGGGACUGAGACACGGCCCAGACUCCUACGGGAGGCAGCAGUGGGGAAUAUUGGACAAUGGGCGAAAGCCUGAUCCAGCAAUGCCGCGUGAGUGAUGAAGGCCUUAGGGUUGUAAAGCUCUUUUACCCGGGAUGAUAAUGACAGUACCGGGAGAAUAAGCUCCGGCUAACUCCGUG